GAUGACGUCACGUCCGUGAAGUCCGGCGUCGGUGUCUCUGGUGACUGCUUUCUUCCGGAGGAAUUCUGCCUGAGGCAGCAGAGAGGGCCUGGAGGGGAGAGGAGCUGGCAGUCACACCGGCAGGGCGGCGGUUGGCUUGCAGUGCCAGUUGGAGUCCUGGGUGACUGACGGCCCGAGUACUGGGGUCCCUGCCAUCUGUGUGGGAAACCAGGAUGGAGUGUCUGGCUCCCGCCAGACCCGGACAUGAGUGUUGGCGGCCUUUUGGGAAUGAACCUACAGAUUUCAAAAUUGUAUCUGAAACACCAUAUGGGCACCAGUUCAAGACCUGGCUGCUCCACUUCCGAUCCAGCUCUCUGCUGUGGCCUGGGAAAGCAGCAGAAGAUGGCCAAGUGCUUGGACCCCUGCACUGGAGUGGGAGACCAGGAAGAAGCUCCUGGCUCCUGGCUUCGGAUCAGCACAGCUCUGGCCGUUGUGGCCAGCUGGGGAGUGAGCCAGCAGAUGGAAGACUUCUCUCUCUCCACCUUUGACUCUGCCUCUCUGUAAUUCUUCCUUUCAAAUAAAUAAAUAAA